GACGAACGCUGGCGGCGUGCUUAACACAUGCAAGUCGAACGAUGAAGCCGGAGCUUGCUCUGGUGAAUUAGUGGCGAACGGGUGAGUAACACGUGAGUAACCUGCCCUUGACUCUGGGAUAACUGCGGGAAACUGUAGCUAAUACCGGGUACGACCCUCGGAGGCAUCUCCUGGGGGUGGAAAGAAUUUCGGUCAAGGAUGGACUCGCGGCCUAUCAGCUAGUUGGUGAGGUAAAGGAUCACCAAGGCGACGACGGGUAGCCGGCCUGAGAGGGUGACCGGCCACACUGGGACUGAGACACGGCCCAGACUCCUACGGGAGGCAGCAGUGGGGAAUAUUGCACAAUGGGCGCAAGCCUGAUGCAGCAACGCCGCGUGAGGGAUGACGGCCUUCGGGUUGUAAACCUCUCUUAGCAGGGAAGAAGCGAAAGUGACGGUACCUGCAGAAAAAGCACCGGCUAACUACGUGCCAGCCGCCGCGGUAA
rnacentral:rRNA from 1 species